rnacentral:rRNA from 1 species
GCCUACAGCCAAACCACCAUGAACACGCCUGAUCUCGGAACUAAGCAGGGUCGGGCUGGAUUAGUACCUGGAUGGGAGACUNCCUGGGAAUACCAGGUGCUGUAGGCU